AGAUGGGAGCUUGCUCCCUGAUGUUAGCGGCGGACGGGUGAGUAACACGUGGGUAACCUGCCUGUAAGACUGGGAUAACUCCGGGAAACCGGGGCUAAUACCGGAUGGUUGUUUGAACCGCAUGGUUCAGACAUAAAAGGUGGCUUCGGCUACCACUUACAGAUGGACCCGCGGCGCAUUAGCUAGUUGGUGAGGUAACGGCUCACCAAGGCGACGAUGCGUAGCCGACCUGAGAGGGUGAUCGGCCACACUGGGACUGAGACACGGCCCAGACUCCUACGGGAGGCAGCAGUAGGGAAUCUUCCGCAAUGGACGAAAGUCUGACGGAGCAACGCCGCGUGAGUGAUGAAGGUUUUCGGAUCGUAAAGCUCUGUUGUUAGGGAAGAACAAGUGCCGUUCAAAUAGGGCGGCACCUUGACGGUACCUAACCAGAAAGCCACGGCUAACUACGUGCCAGCAGCCGCGGUAAUACGUAGGUGGCAAGCGUUGUCCGGAAUUAUUGGGCGUAAAGGGCUCGCAGGCGGUUUCUUAAGUCUGAUGUGAAAGCCCCCGGCUCAACCGGGGAGGGUCAUUGGAAACUGGGGAACUUGAGUGCAGAAGAGGAGAGUGGAAUUCCACGUGUAGCGGUGAAAUGCGUAGAGAUGUGGAGGAACACCAGUGGCGAAGGCGACUCUCUGGUCUGUAACUGACGCUGAGGAGCGAAAGCGUGGGGAGCGAACAGGAUUAGAUACCCUGGUAGUCCACGCCGUAAACGAUGAGUGCUAAGUGUUAGGGGGUUUCCGCCCCUUAGUGCUGCAGCUAACGCAUUAAGCACUCCGCCUGGGGAGUACGGUCGCAAGACUGAAACUCAAAGGAAUUGACGGGGGC
rnacentral:rRNA from 1 species